rnacentral:rRNA from 1 species
GUGAGCCUACGGGGCGCAGCAGUGGGGAAUAUUGCACAAUGGGGGAAACCCUGAUGCAGCGACGCCGCGUGAGUGAAGAAGUAUUUCGGUAUGUAAAGCUCUAUCAGCAGGGAAGAAAAUGACGGUACCUGAUUAAGAAGCCCCGGCUAACUACGUGCCAGCAGCCGCGGUAAUACGUAGGGGGCAAGCGUUAUCCGGAUUUACUGGGUGUAAAGGGAGCGUAGACGGCAGCACAAGUCUGGAGUGAAAGCCCGGGGCUCAACUCCGGGACUGCUUUUGAAACUGUGUUGCUAGAUUGCAGUAGG